AAAACGGCCCUUUUAAGGGCCACCGCAUAGCUGGCCGCUACGCCAAU
rfam:Macrostomum lignano uti_cns_0005695, whole genome shotgun sequence.